AGCGAACGCUGGCGGCAGGCUUAACACAUGCAAGUCGAACGGUCCUUCGGGAUAGUGGCGGACGGGUGAGUAGCACGUGGGAACGUACCCUUAGGUUCGGAACAACACAGGGAAACUUGUGCUAAUACCGGAUAAGCCCUUCGGGGGAAAGAUUUAUCGCCUUUGGAGCGGCCCGCGUCUGAUUAGCUUGUUGGUGAGGUAAUGGCUCACCAAGGCUACGAUCAGUAGCUGGUCUGAGAGGAUGGCCAGCCACACUGGGACUGAGACACGGCCCAGACUCCUACGGGAGGCAGCAGUGGGGAAUCUUGCGCAAUGGGCGAAAGCCUGACGCAGCCAUGCCGCGUGGAUGAUGGAGGUCUUAGGAUUGUAAAAUCCUUUCACCGGGGACGAUAAUGACGGUACCCGGAGAAGAAGCCCCGGCUAACUUCGUGCCAGCCGCCGCGGUAA
rnacentral:rRNA from 1 species